rnacentral:rRNA from 1 species
AGAAUCAACGCUGGCGGCGUGCCUAACACAUGCAAGUCGAACGAGAAAGUGGAGCAAUCCAUGAGUAAAGUGGCGCACGGGUGAGUAACACGUGACUAACCCACCCUUGAGUGGGGAAUAACUGAGGGAAACCUUAGCUAAUACCGCAUAAUACCUACGGGUCAAAGGAGCAAUUCGCUUAAGGAGGGGGUCGCGGCAGAUUAGCUAGUUGGCGGGGUAAUGGCCCACCAAGGCAGUGAUCUGUA